GACGAACGCUGGCGGCGUGCUUAAUACAUGCAAGUCGAGCGAGGCCUUGGAAUUGGAGUCCUUCGGGAUGAAGAGUCCUUGGCCUAGCGGCGGACGGGUGAGUAACGCGUGGGCAACCUACCCCAAAGUCCGGGAUAACAGUGGGAAACCGCUGCUAAUACCGGAUGGCUUUACCUGAGGGCAUCCUUGGGUAAAGAAAGGUUACGCUUUGGGGAUGGGCCCGCGUCCCAUUAGCUAGUUGGUGAGGUAACGGCUCACCAAGGCGACGAUGGGUAGCCGGCCUGAGAGGGUGAACGGCCACACUGGGACUGAGACACGGCCCAGACUCCUACGGGAGGCAGCAGUAGGGAAUAUUGCGCAAUGGGCGGAAGCCUGACGCAGCGACGCCGCGUGAGCGAAGAAGGCCUUCGGGUCGUAAAGCUCUGUCCUGGGGAAGAAGGCGAAAGCUUGACGGUACCCAAGAAGAAGCCCCGGCUAACUACGUGCCAGCAGCCGCGGUAAAUCACGUGUA
rnacentral:rRNA from 1 species